ACUCCCGUAGCUCAACUGGACAGAGCAUCGGAUUUCUAAUCCGCAGGUUGAAGGUUCGAAUCCUUUCGGGAGUGCCA
rnacentral:tRNA from 1 species